CCUAACCAUAAACAUAAAAAUUUCCCAACAAAAAUUUUUGCCAGAGGACUACUAGCAACAGCUUAAAACUCAAAGGACUUGACGGUGCUUACACCCAUCUA
rnacentral:rRNA from 1 species